rnacentral:lncRNA from 1 species
AUGAGUCUGAAGAAUGUUCCAGCUGCAAACCUCAAUGUGGUCAAUGCCAGUGCCUACAGCCAGGGGCUGAGGGAAGGAGGAGGUUGUAAGUGGAGCUGUUGUGUCCCCCACUUGGAAACCCCUCUGAGGAGAGAAGAGAUGGAUCCCGACCCUUCGGUUUCACCUCCUGUGUUUCUCCAACACUCAAGUGGGCUCCACCACCCAAGCCUCUCUGGUGGCUUCAGGUGGGUAUUUGUGUUAUUCUUUGACUGCCCAGCACCUGAACCCCCACCCGAAACAGUGAGUCUUGGGGGAAAGCACAGCUUUGCAACCUGCUCUACCAAACCAACGUGCCAAAUACUGCCCGGGCCUAGGACCCGGCUCAGACCUUACCAGGUGAAUUCCACUGCGGGAUACAGAGCUCUGGCCGCCUUGGCAGGGCUGGCAGGUCCUUCAGCACCCACUGGGGAUACAGUGGCUUCUGCCCCCGCAUGGUGCUCUGCUGUGCCCUUGGCUGUGAAUUUGGCCACUGGGGUCCCUUUGAGCCUGGCUCUCCCACCCUCCCUCCGGGGCCUUGGGCUCCUCCCAGCCUGCCAGUGACCGUCUAGUCUAUUUCCACCAGACAGAAGCAGGUUCUGGGUUCGCAUCUAUGUGCAUGACUAGCUGAGAAAUGGGUACAGGGAGUCAUUUGCAAGCAAGAGAUCCUUGGAGAAAUGGGGGGCUGGGGGCGGAUGUGGGACUGGGGAGCUAACUGCCAGGCCUAGUUGUGCUGAAGUCAGUAAAAGUCCAGUUGGCCCCUCCUGGUAGGAGUAUAGCAGGCCAGGGUCCACAGAGGCGAAACAGCUAAAUAAAUUGUUGCCUGGGGCCA